CAAAGAGCUGAGUCUCCUUCAUCAUGGCAGCUCCAUCUCUCCUGUUAACACCACCUGGACCAGACUGAGGAGGAGGAGGAGAGAGACAGGUCAAAGAGCUGAGUCUCCAUCUCUCCUGUUAACACCACCUGGACCAGACUGAGGAGGAGGAGGAGAGAGACAGGUCAAAGAGCUGAGUCUCCAUCUCUCCUGUUAACACCACCUGGACCAGACUGAGGAGGAGGAGAGAGACAGGUCAAAGAGCUGAGUCUCCAUCUCUCCUGUUAACACCACCUGGACCAGACUGAGGAGGAGGAGAGAGACAGGUCAAAGAGCUGAGUCUCCAUCUCUCCUGAUAACACC